rnacentral:lncRNA from 1 species
GGCCGCCACAGUGCAGCCGCGGGCUGAAGGGCUCCUCAAGCACGGCCAGACUGGAGGCGGAGAGCGAGUGAGGGCUGCUAGUACAUUGUCACCUCUCACCCUCAGAAGGCUGAGCUGGUGGGGGCUGAGUUCUGUUACGUGUGACAGCAACGUCUAGGCCAAGCUUGUCCAACUUGCGGCCCACCAGCUGCAUACAACUCUGGACGGCUUUGAAUGCAGCCCAACACAAAUUCGUAAACUUUCUUAAAACAUAGUGCGUUUUUUUUGUUUUUUUUUUUUUGUUUUUUUAAGCUCAUCAGCUAUCAUUAACGUCAGUGUAUUUUACGUGUGGCCAAAGGCAAUUCUUCCAUUGUGGCCCAGGGAAACCAAACUGAAAGAUUGGACGCUCCUGGUCUAGGCUCUCGAUUGCUGAACUCGUUUCCUCUCAGCUGUUGAUUCCCGACAUUUGAGGACUUUUUCUGUCCCCUCUGCUCUUCCUGCCCAAGAGGCAAUAUCUGCCUUUCCCCACAAGGGUGCGUUCAUUCAGGCAACAGACAGGGUCCUUCUCUCUCUCCCAGGCUGGAAUGCAGUGGCAUGAUCUUGGCUCACUGCAGCCUCAACCUCCUGGACUCAAGUAAUCCUCCUGCCUCAGCCUCCCCAGAAGCUGGGACUACAGGUGAG